rnacentral:rRNA from 1 species
CCUACGGGAGGCAGCAGUGGGGGAUAUUGCACAAUGGGGGGAACCCUGAUGCAGCGACGCCGCGUGGGUGAAGGAGUGCUUCGGCAUGUAAAGCCCUAUCGGCAGGGAAGAAGCAAGACGGUACCUGACUAAGAAGCCCCGGCUAACUACGUGCCAGCAGCCGCGGUAAUACGGAGGGGGCGAGCGUUAUCCGGAUGCACUGGGUGUAAAGGGAGCGUAGGCGGCCAUGCAAGCCAGGGGUGAAAGCCCGGGGCCAAACCCCGGGACUGCCCUUGGAACGGGAUGGCGGGAGUGCGGGAGGGGCAGGCGGAAUGCCUGGUGUAGCGGUGAAAUGCGUAGAUAUCAGGAAGAACACCGGCGGCGAAGGCGGCCUGCUGGACCGCGACUGACGUUGAGGCUCGAAAGCGUGGGGAGCGAACAGGAUUAGAUACCCUGGUAGUC